rnacentral:rRNA from 1 species
UGGGGAAUUUUGGACAAUGGGGGAAACCCUGAUCCAGCCAUCCCGCGUGUGCGAUGAAGGCCUUCGGGUUGUAAAGCACUUUUGGCAGGAAAGAAACGUCGCGGGUUAAUACCCCGCGAAACUGACGGUACCUGCAGAAUAAGCACCGGCUAACUNCGUGCCAGCAGCCGCGGUAAUACGUAGGGUGCAAGCGUUAAUCGGAAUUACUGGGCGUAAAGCGUGCGCAGGCGGUUCGGAAAGAAAGAUGUGAAAUCCCAGAGCUUAACUUUGGAACUGCAUUUUUAACUACCGGGCUAGAGUGUGUCAGAGGGAGGUGGAAUUCCGCGUGUAGCAGUGAAAUGCGUAGAUAUGCGGAGGAACACCGAUGGCGAAGGCAGCCUCCUGGGAUAACACUGACGCUCAUGCACGAAAGCGUGGGGAGCAAACAGGAUUAGAUACCCUGGUAGUCCACGCCCUAAACGAUGUCAACUAGCUGUUGGGGCCUUCGGGCCUUGGUAGCGCAGCUAACGCGUGAAGUUGACCGCCUGGGGAGUACGGUCGCAAGAUUAAAACUCAAAU